rnacentral:misc_RNA from 1 species
UCUUGACUUGUACACACGUACGCUACGCAGGGGUUGAAAGAGAAAAAAACGUGGUCUAAAGUCGAUUUUGUGUCUCUGUAUUCGGUCUUCAAAUUUAUUUCUUCACGUCCUUAAGCGGAUUUUUAAGUUGGAGUCAUGGUGAAAAGAAAGUUAAGAAAACCGAAAAGAAAAGGGCCGAGACAAAACGAUUGCUUGCUUGCAUGGUGCUUAAAAAA